UACGUAGGGUGCAAGCGUUGUCCGGAAUUAUUGGGCGUAAAGAGCUCGUAGGUGGCCUGUCGCGUCGGCUGUGAAAACUCAGGGCUCAACUCCGAGCUUGCAGUCGAUACGGGCAGACUAGAGUUCGGCAGGGGAGACUGGAAUUCCUGGUGUAGCGGUGAAAUGCGCAGAUAUCAGGAGGAACACCGGUGGCGAAGGCGGGUCUCUGGGACGAUACUGACGCUGAGGAGCGAAAGCGUGGGGAGCGAACAGG
rnacentral:rRNA from 1 species